GAUGAACGCUGGCGGCGUGCCUAAUACAUGCAAGUCGAGCGAACAGACGAGGAGCUUGCUCCUCUGACGUUAGCGGCGGACGGGUGAGUAACACGUGGAUAACCCACCUAUAAGACUGGGAUAACUUCGGGAAACCGGAGCUAAUACCGGAUAACAUGUUGAACCGUAUGGUUCAACAGUGAAAGACGGUCUUGCUGUCGCUUAUAGAUGGAUCCGCGCCGCAUUAGCUAGUUGGUAAGGUAACGGCUUACCAAGGCAACGAUGCGUAGCCGACCUGAGAGGGGGAUCGGCCACACUGGAAGUGAGACACGGUCCAGACUCCUACGGGAGGCAGCAGUAGGGAAUCUUCCGCAAUGGGCGAAAGCCUGACGGAGCAACGCCGCGUGAGUGAAGAAGGUCUUCGGAUCGUAAAACUCUGUUAUUAGGGAAGAACAAAUGUGUAAGUAACUAUGCACGUCUUGACGGUACCUAAUCAGAAAGCCACGGCUAACUACGUG
rnacentral:rRNA from 1 species